UACCGAAUCAUACUUGGCAGAAGAUUUUUGAAAAUUAUCUUGUCGCCAUCGACACCAAUGGAGAUCGGUGGCCGGAGGAGAGAAAACGUGCCGUUCUACAGUGCCCGGGAGCCGAGGGGUUGAAAGUUUUCUACACGCUGCCUAAUACAGUGUACACUGUGACUUCGGCGACCGCACGGACGAGAUGAUAAGGGACCGAGUAUUGGAGAAAGCAUCCUCUGCAUGCAUUCAUGAUCGACUCUUGCUACAGCCUCAGCUAACACUGAAGGAUGGAAUGCUUUUAGCCAGCCAAACGGAGACCGCUGUGGGGCACAUGCAAGUGCUGGAGGCAGCAUCGGUGCAUGAGAUUAAACCUGCUCAGCGUGGUACACUACAACUCAAUCGGAAACACCACGGAAAAUCAGUGAGUAAAACGCGAUCAGAGUCUAAUGCACAGUCUAAUCGUACUUGCUUUCAUUGUGGGUCUAGUAUUUCUAAUGCUCCAAAUUGCCCUGCUGCUAAAGUUAAAUGCAAGAGCUGUGGAAAUGUGGGACAUUUUGCAAGAGUCUGCUGCUCAAAAUGGAAAGUGCAAGCACUCAAUGUUCCUGAGUUCAAGGUUCCUGAAAUUGUGCACGUGCUCUAAGUAGAUGGGAAACUGUGCGUCAUAAAAUAAAAUGCACUGUGGCCAUCGGAACUGAGAAAAUGAGCCCUGUUUCCAUUGAGCUCUUAGUAGACACAGGUUCCACUUUUUCCAUUCUCCCUCAACACCUAUAUAAGUGGUGCAUCUCUUCAGUGCAUCUCCUUUACAGCCCCCCCAUAUGAAACUAGUAACUUACUUGAAAUCAGCACUGCCUGUAAUUGGAUGCCUGCCUUCGCAUGUAUACUAUGAUGAUGCAGUGGUCAAUACCGGCAUCUACAUUGUCAAGAAAGGCUGGGCAUGGACCUAGUGUCAGGUCUCAACAUUCACAUUGCUGGAAAUAUAGUAGUCUUAUCCCCCUCUCCUGCUGUGGUGAGCCAAGUGAUGGCUACAAUGACAACAGAGGCCAUCUCUGGAUGUUCCAAAGGCUUUGUCCAUCAUGUAAAAGUAAGAGAGUCAGUUCAAACUGUACAGCAAAAACUGCAUAGACUUCCCUUAUCAGUCAGAAAUGCAGUUUCCAGAGAACUAUGCAGUUUACAAGAUGCAGGUGGAUGCCUCCCUGUGGGUGUCAACGAGGGUGGUGACAAUGAAGAAGAAUGGAGAAAUUCGCUUAUGUGUGGAUUUAAGAGAGCCAAACAGGGCAGUGAUCAUUGAUAGCCAUCCCCUUCCACACAUGGAGGACUUGUUCACUGAGCUAAAGGGGGCCACAAUGUUUUCAAGCAUUGAUUUGACCAGUGCACACCUCCAGAUGAUGCUUCACGAGGACAGCUGGGACCUGACGACAUUCAUUACACAUGAUGGGCUGUUUCGUUAUCGCCGGGUACCCUAUGGCUUAGCCUUGGCACCGGCUGCUUUUCAAAAAAUGAUGGUAAUGAUACUGAAAGGCCUGGAUGGAAUCCAGAACUACCUGGAUAAUGUGAUCGUGUAUGGACGCACUUCAGCCGAGCAUUAUUGCAAUUUGCAGGCUGUUUUAACGGCACUACAGCACACAAGCCUUAUCUUGAAUCAAGUGAAAUGUAAGUUCAGCUGCAAAAGUCUCCCUUAUUUGGGCCACAUUAUUACUGUGCAAGGCCUGCUUCCUGACAAUGGUCAAAUUCAGGCUAUCCUAAAGGCACCAGCCACAGACCCUGCCAAAUUACGUUCAUUCUUAGGACUGACUUCCUGGUACUCGCGUUUCAUGCCAAACUACUCUUCGGAGAUAGAGUGAUGCCUCGGACUAUGGAAUAGAGGCUGUGCUAACACAGAUUCCUGCCGAUGGUUCAGAGCGUACUGUCACAUUUGCUUCCUGCUCUCUCUCGGUUGCAGAGUGGAAAUAUGCCAUAGUGGAGAAAGAAGCCCUGGCCUGGGCUGUGGAACAGUGGCGAACAUUCUUGUGGGGCCAUCAGUUCACACUCCGUAUGGACCACCAGGCACUAACCACUCUGCUGACAACUAAAGGUAUGGGGCACGCUGGAAUGUGCAUCGCGAGGUGGUCUGCACACCUGCUCUGCUUCAACUAUGAAGUCUUGUACAAGCCAGGGUCCGAAAACGUCACAGCAGACUGCCUCCCACAUCUGCCCUCACCUGCCUGGGAGGAUGCUGAUUCUGCCAUUGACGGCUCUACUCUUCGCCGAACCUUGUGCUUUGUCAGUGGAUGAAUUUUCCAAAGAGUGCGCUGGUUGCCCUGAAUUAACAGCACUGCGACUACAACUACGCACAGGUUGGCCUAAAAACAAGAAAAACUUUCCACCUGAGCUGGCAUUAUAUUUUCAUGUUAGGGAUGAACUUGCGGUGCAAGACAACCUGGUCUAUAGAGGUACAUAUCGCUUGGUGGUGCCUAUAUCCCUGCGUGGGGCCCUAAUUAAUCUACCACAUCAGGGUCACCAGGGCAUUGUCAGGACCAAGCAGCAUCUUCAUGACUUGAAUUGGUGGCAUGGCAUGAACCACUCAGUUCAGUCUGCAAUCUCCUCUUGCCAGCUUUGCCAAAACCAUGACAAAAGUGCCAAAACACAUGUUCCUCCCCUACAGCCACUUCCUUCUGCACCAUGGGAGAAGUUAAGACUAGACAUUAUUGGACCAUUCGAGUUGGGAACAUGGGACUGCAGGUAUGCACUCACUUUAGUUGACUAUUACAGCAAGUGGCCAGAAAUAGCGUUCACCAGUAAUGUCACUACCGAUACUGUCACUGACUUUCUUGCUACGGCAUUCAGCCAUUUUGCCAACCCUUUGGAAAUUGUGACUGACAAUGGUGUACAAUUUACAUCCCUUGCCUUUGCUGAUUUUCUUAAAAGCAGGAAUAUCAAACAUGCCCGCACCUCACUGUACUUUCCACAAGCUAAUGGGGCUGUGAACUGUUACUUGGUUGCAAACUGAGAACAACCCUACAUAUUCUACCCACUGGGCCCUCUGCUUGUGAUGAUGCUACAGUGCGAGCUUGUGUCCAGGCCCACCAGUCCCAAGUAAAAACUUACUUGAAACCAUCUGCUUUGAGACCAGGGGACAGAGUGCAGGUGAAGCUACCCACUCAUGUGAAAAAGGGCAAGUCAAAAUUUUGUUCACCCUGUACUGUGCUGGGAAAAAAAGGACAGGACACUUACAUCCUUGAGGAUGGGAAAAUGUGGAACACCACACACCUUUCACAAUGCCCUGGCCAAAGCCAUUCAGAGAGGAGCCCUACAGAGGUGCCACAUCUACAUAGAUACUGCACCGGUAGCUCAAAGACAGCCUAGAAUCAGAUACCCUCCAGUCUAGCACAAAGAAUAUGUUAAGUGAAUGUCACACAUGAACACUAACCACAACAUUAAGCUAUUUGAGUUUCAAAUUUUAAACUUUUUAUGUUUGAACAUAAAGGCAUUUGCACUGUUCUGUUAAAUCUGUGAUUGUAUAUGCUUGUGUUUAAGAUGUGUUUAUUGAGGUCCAUAACAAUUUUUGCUGGAAACAAAAAACAAAAACAAAAAAACAUAAAUUUCCUUGUAUUAUGGGUUAAGAAGCUAUAAUGUGAUUGCUUACACUGUUAAUAUUGGUGGAUUUGGCAUGCUGGAAUCAAUUGUUCUGUUGGCUUAUGAUGUUGUUCAGGAAAUGUCGAAACUAUACUUAAGAUAUUGUGAAAAAAAGGGAAAAUGUUAUAUGUUCACUUAAUCUGCUCCUCCCGCUAGGGGUCAAUAGCGAACCUGAGACGUGUAUGUGGUAAGAAGAAGAAUAAAGGAGAGAGAUAAGAAACCACGGUUGUGGUUGCUGCAGUUUUGUAUUAGUUACUAGUAAAAGUGUUAAACACAACAAACAAGAACACAGAUCAAACCAUGUCUGAUCUGUGUAAUUGAUAGAAUACAGAGGCUAUCAAUUAAUUGCCAACAAAAGCCUUCAUCAGCCAACUAACAAAGGACAAUGCAUCUAUAUGAACUUCUGCAGCUAAUCCAGGAUGAACUUCAAAAACAUUAGUCAUUAAUCUUACAGUUCAUACAAAAUCUUAGUUUAAACACUGGCCCUUAACACUUACUUAGUUUACUACUUUUAAACCAUGACUUGCACUGCACACAAAUAGAUAAUAUUGGCAUUAUAUUCAUGCUGUUUAGCCAGAGGGGAACUGGCCCCCACAGUGAGCCUGGUUUCUCCCAAGGUUAUUUUUUUUACGGAGUUUUGUGUUCCUUGCCACUUCGGCUUGCUCACUGGGGUUCUAAAUACAAUUAUUAUUUAAUUAUUUAUUUUAUACACAAUUUACAAUUUAAUCAUAUUUAAUCAAACUACACGAUGACUCUAAGUCUUUAUAGAUAUUACAGUUUCAUUUUCUGUUAAUGCAUGAUUUUCUGUAAAGCUUUGAAACGAUGUGUGUUGUGAAAAGCGCUAUACAAAUAAAAAUGACUUGACCAUGUGAGGGUAGAAACAAA